AAAAACACAAACACGUGGAGACUCAACAACAUGCUACUAAACAACCAAUGGAUCACUGAAGAAACCAAAGAGGAAAUUUAAAAAUACCUACAAGGUAAUGACAACAAAGAUACGACACUCCAAAACCUAUGGGAUGCAGCAAAAGCUGUUCUAAGAGGAAAGUUUAUAGCAAUACAAGUUCACCUCAGGAAACAAGAAAAAGCUCAACUCAACAAGCUAACUUUACAUGGAAAGCAGCUCGAGAGAGAACAGACAAGACCUAAAGUGGGUUGAAGGAAAGAAAUCAUAAAGAUCAGAGCAGAAAUCAAUGAACUAGAAACAAAGAAAACCAUAGAAAAGAUCAAUGAAAUGAAAAGCUGGUUCUUUGAAAAGAUCAACAAAAUUGAUAAACCCUAAGCCAUUCUUAUCAAGAAAAAAAGAGAGAGGACUCAAAUCAAUACAAUUAGAAAUGAAAAAGGAGAAGUAACAAUGGACAUCACAGAAAUACAAAGGAUCAUAAGAGAUUCCUACAUGCAACUAUACGCCAAUAAAAUGGAAAACCUAGAAGAAAUGGACAAAUUCUUAGAAAAGUACAAUCUUCCAAGACUCAACCAAGAUGAAAUAGAAAAGAUGAAUGGACGCAUCACAAGAACUGAAAUGGAAACUGGGAUUAAAAAACUUCCAACAGGAGUUCCCAUCUUGGUGCAGUGGUUAACAAAUCCGACUAGGAACCAUGAGGUUGCGGGUUCGGUCCCUGGCCUUGCUCAGUGGGUUAACGAUCCGGUGUUGCUGUGAGCUGUGGUGUAGGUUGCAGACACGGAUCGGAUCCAGCGUUGCUGUGGCUCUGGUGUAAGCCGGUGGCUGCAGCUCCGAUUCAACCCCUAGCCUGAGAACCUCCAUAUGCCGUGGGAGUGGCCCAAGAAAUAGCAAAAAGACAAAAAAAAAAAAAAAAAAAAAAACUUCCAACAAACAAAAGGCCAGGACCAGAUGGCUUCACAGGCGAGUUCUAUCAAACAUUUAGAGAAGAGCUAACACCUAUCCUUCUGAAAGUAUUACAAAAAAUUGCAGAGUGAAGGGAUACUCCCAAACUCAUUCUACGAGGCCACCAUCACCCUGAUACCAAAACCAGACAUAGAUACCACAAAAAAAGAAAACUAUAGGCCAAUUUCACUGAUGAACAUCGAUGCAAAAAUCCUCAACAAAAUCCUAGCAAACUGAAUCCAACAAUACAUUAAUAGGACUGUACAUCAGGAUCAAGUUGGAUUUAUCCCAGGGAUGCAAGGAUUAUUCAAUAUCCACAAAUCCAUCAGUGGGAUAGACAACAUUAACAAACUAAAGAGCAAAAACCAUAUAAUCCUCUCAAUGGACGAAAAAGCCUUUGACAAAAUCCAACACCCAUUUCUGAUAAAAACCCUUCAGAAAGUGGGCAUAGUGGGAACCUACCUCCACGUAAUAAAGGCCAUAUAUGACAAACCCACAGCCAACAUCAUUCUCAAUGGUGAAAAGCUCAAGGAAUUCCCACUGAGAUGAGGAACAAGACAAAGAUGUCCGCUCUUGCCACUACUCUUCAACAUAGUUUUGGAAGUCCUAGCCACGGCAAUCAGAG
rnacentral:lncRNA from 1 species